rnacentral:rRNA from 1 species
GACGUAGGAGGCGAGCGUUAUCCGGAUUCACUGGGCGUAAAGCGCAUGUAGGCGGUUUGUUAAGUCCGGUGUUAAAGCCCCUGGCUCAACUGGGGGAGGUCAUUGGAGACUAACAGACUUGAGGGCAACAGAGGCACGUGGAACUCCCGGUGUAGCGGUGGAAUGCGUAGAGAUCGGGAAGAACACCAGUGGCGAAGGCGACGUGCUGGGUUGCAACUGACGCUGAGAUGCGAAAGUGUGGGGAGCAAACGGG